CUUCGGGCACAGUGUAGAUGCU
rnacentral:piRNA from 1 species